rnacentral:rRNA from 1 species
CCUGGUUGAUCCUGCCAGUAGUCAUAUGCUUGUCUCAAAGAUUAAGCCAUGCAUGUCUAAGUAUAAACAACUUUAUACUGUGAAACUGCGAAUGGCUCAUUAAAUCAGUUAUAGUUUAUUUGAUAGUACCUUACUACUUGGAUAACCGUAGUAAUUCUAGAGCUAAUACAUGCGAAAAGACCCGACUUUUUGGAAGGGUUGCAUUUAUUAGAUACAAAACCAAUGGCCAGCAAUGGUCACACUUGGUGAUUCAUAAUAACUUUUGCGGAUCGCAUAGCUUUACGCUGGCGACGAAUCAUUCAAAUUUCUGCCCUAUCAACUUUCGAUGGUACGGUAUUGGCCUACCAUGGUUACAACGGGUAACGGGGAAUUAGGGUUCGGUUCCGGAGAGGGGGCCUGAGAAAUGGCCACCACAUCCAAGGAAGGCAGCAGGCGCGCAAAUUACCCAAUCCUGAUACAGGGAGGUAGUGACAAUAAAUAACAAUGCAGGACCUUUACGGGUUUUGUAAUUGGAAUGAGUACAAUUUAAAUCUCUUAACGAGUACCAAUUGGAGGGCAAGUCUGGUGCCAGCAGCCGCGGUAAUUCCAGCUCCAAUAGCGUAUAUUAAAGUUGUUGCAGUUAAAAAGCUCGUAGUUGAAUCUCGGAGUCCUUUUUUCUUCGGAAACGCCGAUGGUCGGAAACCCAGAGCCUCGAAAGGGGUGGAUGGGGCUGUUUACUUGAGGCAGGGCUCACAUCUGAGUUUCUCGAAGGUGGCCUCUGCUCUUCACUGGGUUGGGGGACUUUUUCACAUUCGAGACAUUUACUUUGAAAAAAUUAGAGUGUUCAAAGCAGGCGGUUUCGCUUGAAUACAUUAGCAUGGAAUAAUGGAAUAGGACUUUGGUCUUAUUUUGUUGGUUUCUAGGACUGAAGUAAUGAUUAAUAGGGACAGUUGGGGGCAUUAGUAUUUAAUUGUCAGAGGUGAAAUUCUUGGAUUUAUGAAAGACUAACUUCUGCGAAAGCAUUUGCCAAGGAUGUUUUCAUUAAUCAAGAACGAAAAUUAGGGGAUCGAAGACGAUUGGAUACCGUCGUAGUCCUAACCAUAAACUAUGCCGACUCGGGAUCGGUGAGCGUGUUUUUUUACUACCUCAUCAGCACCGUAGGAGAAAUCAAAGUUUUUGGGUUCUGGGGGGUGUAUGGUCGCAAGGCUGAAACUUAAAGGAAUUGACGGAAGGGCACACCAGGUUUGGAGCCUGCGGCUUAAUUUGACCCAACACGGGGAAACUCACCAGGUCCAGACAUCGUAAGGAUUGACAGAUUGAGAGCUCUUUCUUGAUUCGAUGGAAAGUGGUGCAUGGCCG